UACGAAGGGGGCUAGCGUUGCUCGGAAUUACUGGGCGUAAAGGGCGCGUAGGCGGCGCUGCAAGUCAGGCGUGAAAUUCCCGGGCUCAACCUGGGGGCUGCGCUUGAUACUGAUUGGCUUGAAUGCGGGAGAGGAUAGUGGAAUUCCCAGUGUAGAGGUGAAAUUCGUAGAUAUUGGGAAGAACACCGGUGGCGAAGGCGGCUAUCUGGCCCGUAAUUGACGCUGAGGCGCGAAAGCGUGGGGAGCAAACAGG
rnacentral:rRNA from 1 species